ACUUUGGUGAUAAGGCCCAGGUAGUUCAACAACGGCUGAAAAGGACGAGUACCUGAGUAGGAGUACAGCUAGGACUCAGAAGGAAGGAGAAGGACCAAUCAACGUUGCCAAAAGGCCAGUACAGCGGAAUACUUGGAUGGUAGGGAGAGCCGCCCCCGCCACUUCUACUGCUGCGAGUCGGACUUAGUAAAUUCUAGUGAAGAAUCAGAAUAGUAUUCGAGCUCAGAC